rnacentral:rRNA from 1 species
UACGUAGGGGGCUAGCGUUGUCCGGAAUCAUUGGGCGUAAAGAGCGUGUAGGCGGCCCGGUAAGUCCGCUGUAAAAGUCAAAGGCUCAACCUUUGAAUGUCAGUGGAUACUGCCGGGCUAGAGUCCGGAAGAGGCGAGUGGAAUUCCCGGUGUAGCGGUGAAAUGCGCAGAUAUCGGGAGGAACACCUAUUGCGAAGGCAGCUCGCUGGGACGUCACUGACGCUGAGACGCGAAAGCGUGGGGAGCAAACAGG